CACUCUCGGAUGAUUGAGGGAACUGAGUUUUGUCUCUGAGUCCAUUCAGUCAAGAUCUGUAAGUAUUGUGCACAGAAAAGAGGAUCCUCUGAGGUGACCUUGGCAAUGGAUACCUUGAAGCUGCAUUAGUUGGGUGAAUUAGCAUUCAGUUAAAUUUCAACAAUUAUCUACUGAACACCUACUGUGCUUGCAGUUCUGCCAGAGAAAGGACUGGAAUUAGACAAAGUGAAUCUCCUGUUUCUGGAAUUAUCAAGAAGACUACAGAAAAUUAUAGGAGUGACUCCGAAAUGCUAUGGAAGAGAUUCCUGCAUUGUCAUGCAUAAAGGCAGAUGAGGAAACUCAUUUCAGAGGGACAAUGCUACCUGGAGAAAG
rnacentral:lncRNA from 1 species